rnacentral:rRNA from 1 species
AUUGAACGCUGGCGGCAGGCUUAACACAUGCAAGUCGAGCGGAGAGAGGUAGCUUGCUACCGAUCUUAGCGGCGGACGGGUGAGUAAUGCUUAGGAAUCUGCCUAUUAGUGGGGGACAACAUUUAGAAAGGAAUGCUAAUACCGCAUACGUCCUACGGGAGAAAGCAGGGGAUCUUCGGACCUUGCGCUAAUAGAUGAGCCUAAGUCGGAUUAGCUAGUUGGUGGGGUAAAGGCCUACCAAGGCGACGAUCUGUAGCGGGUCUGAGAGGAUGAUCCGCCACACUGGGACUGAGACACGGCCCAGACUCCUACGGGAGGCAGCAGUGGGGAAUAUUGGACAAUGGGCGCAAGCCUGAUCCAGCCAUGCCGCGUGUGUGAAGAAGGCCUUAUGGUUGUAAAGCACUUUAAGCGAGGAGGAGGCUACUUUAGUUAAUACCUAGAGAUAGUGGACGUUACUCGCAGAAUAAGCACCGGCUAACUCUGUGCCAGCAGCCGCGGUAAGAC